rnacentral:lncRNA from 1 species
UGUUUUCUUUUUCUUUUUUUCCUAGAUUGAGUGUAACCAUUUUUAUUUUCACAUCCAGAUUAAGAAAUAAUCAUAUUUUCAUUUUUAAUUAAUUUUAAAAUUUUUAUUAUACUCUAAAACAUAAAAAUAAAUAAAAAAAACGUGUGUUUGUGAAGUCUUAAGUAUUUUACUGUACUGUAAUAAGGCCCAAUCGACCUGGGUCCAAACUAAACAAAAACAUGUCAGACCCAACAAAACUAACCUAAGCCCAAUACAGACCUCAGCCCAAAACUAAAAAACAAAAAAAGAAAACCCUAGCAGCAGGUAGCGCCGCAGCCCCCGCCUUCA